rnacentral:rRNA from 1 species
GUUAAUGGCCAUGGUGCCCUGAAUGUACCUGAUCUUGUUUGAAAGCUAAGCAGGGUAAGGCCUGGCUAGUACUUGGAUGAAUAAAGUGUUUUAACU